rnacentral:rRNA from 1 species
GACGAACGCUGGCGGCGCGCUUAACACAUGCAAGUCGAGCGAGAACCAGGGCUUCGGCCCUGGGGACAGCGGCGAACGGGUGAGUAACACGUGGGUAAUCCACCCUCGGCACCGGAAUAGCCCGGGGAAACCCGGAUUAAUGCCGGAUGGCCCGCCGGCCCCGCGGGGCUGGCGGAAAAGGUAGCUUCGGCCUCCGGCCGAGGACGAGCCCGCGACGGAUUAGCUUGUUGGUGGGGUAACGGCCUACCAAGGCUGCGAUCCGUAGCUGGUCUGAGAGGACGAUCAGCCACACUGGGACUGAGACACGGCCCAGACUCCUACGGGAGGCAGCAGUGGGGAAUCUUGCGCAAUGGGCGAAAGCCUGACGCAGCGACGCCGCGUGGGGGAAGAAGGCCUUCGGGUUGUAAACCUCUUUCAGGAGGGACGAAGCCACUCGGGUUAAUAGCCCAGAGGGUGACGGUACCUCCAGAAGAAGCCCCGGCUAACUACGUGCCAGCAGCCGCAGUAA